rfam:Loxodonta africana unplaced genomic scaffold scaffold_74, whole genome shotgun sequence.
UAAAAGGUUUUUUUUAAAACCAGUUUAAAGCAUUGUUAAAGUAUUGU